GGGAAACGGGAAGAAGAAGAGAAGCGGAGAGGAAGGGAGUCGUCGCGCCUUGCCAGCUCGUCGCCGCGCCUUGCCCGCUCGUCGCCGCGCCUUGCCCGCCCGUCGCGGCCGUUCCGUGGAGUCCGCCUUGGUCCCGGUUGAACAGGGAUGAAGGAGAGGCGUCGAGAGAGAGACGCGAUGGAGGUCAGAAGGAGGAGCUGCCAUCACUGCCGUCCCGUCCAUGGAGCCGCCUUCGCGUCGCCGUCGUGCUUCGAGGUCAUCGCUCUGUGUCACUGAGAGAAGCCCGAGAUGGAGAUGAGGGAGACGUGAGCCAAGGACUGCGACGAGGAGGAAAAGCCGCCGUCACCUUCACUGGAGCCGCGAUCGCUGUCACCGUUCUGCCUUUCCCUGAGCCGCUAAUACCACCAUAUUCUUCCAAUUCCAUUCCUGUUCCGUGAGAGUUGGCUACUGCAGUUUCUGUUUUGGGGUUUUCCGCCAUUGAAGCUACCAUCAACAGCGCCACUCUCCAUUUUGAUUCCAAUUCUGUAAUUCGAAAACCUGCUCAACGUGCAGGUUGCCUGUUGAAGAAAAUUCUGCAAGUCAUUGGGUUGCGUGUUUCACAUCAAGCAGAAAGCAUAAAAAAUCAAAACAAUAUUUUCAAGGCUCAUGAGGAGAAGUACCAAUCAAGAAUAAAUGCACUUGAAACUCUUGCGGCUGGGGCCACUGAAGAGAAUAAGGUAGUUUCUUUGUUGAUUGAGCUGGGGGUGUGGAACUUUGCUAUAGGGAAUAGAAAUGCAUAUGAGUUCUGUUGCUGAGAAGGUAUUUCUUUAUAGAUCCUCAUUUUUGUUAGAAGUUAAAACUUGAAGUUGUUAUUUUCAGCAUGAUUAAGUAGCUCAUUUUUAUGCAGUUCUGUGAAUAUAAUCUUAGUGUUAUUAACUGAUUUUUCUAUUGAAUAUUCCAAAAAAUCCAAGUUAAGUCUUCCUCUCAUGAAAAUCCUUAAGGAAAAUUUUAUGGGAACUCAUACUCCUGAACCAGAAUUAAUGAAAAUUUUAUGCUGCUCUUCUUCUCUUCAUUCUCAUCACUCUUUUCUAAAUUUACCUGCUUUAAUUUGUUCUUUGAUCCUAUCAUGUUCAUAUGCUACAGAGAAUUGAUUAAUUAAUUAAUUGUGUGUAGUUAAUAUUGAUCUUCUUGUUAAUGAAGAGUAGAUUAAUUGAUCAUUUCUACCAUUGACAUUUUUCUUGGUUUUGUAGAUCUGUGAUCUGGUUGCUGUUGCUAGGUUUUUAAAUGCAACUCUCAUAAUUCCUGAAAUUCAAGAAAGUACUCGCUCAAAAGGAAUUAGGUAUAUGUGGCUAAGUAUCUGCUUUCAUUAUCGUGCCGUUGGGAUUUAUAUAUUAAUAUUUUCUUAAUAAUA